rnacentral:misc_RNA from 1 species
GUGAUUGUGAAUCGUUGCCUUCAGUGCUUGCUGGAGCCAGCCAGCAAGUGCACGUUGGUGACUUUCAUCCAAAUACCCUUGUGAACCUUUGGCCUCUUGCUGGCUUCGGCUGACAGAGGAUUUUACACCCCAACUCGAAUGUAAUGAAAACUACUGUCGUGCGCAAGCACUAAUGUA